UAGGGACAUAUGUUCUUAGAGUAGAUGAACUCCAUUUCACCAAAAUCCUAGGCUUUUAACCACCUACACAUCCUUCGAUUCAUCCAUUUACCAAACCAGAUGUGAGGACAGGGAGGUACUGGCAUGCAUGUGUGUAUUGGGUGUCAGGAGUAGUUCUGACUCACUCUCCAGAUUUCAGUGGCUGGAGCCCCUGUUUGCUGCUGACCAGUCUGCCUGGUACUGCUCGGCACACUUCCUUUGUGCUGCUGCUGCCUCCGCUCUGAGCAAGUCCCGAGCUCUAAAGCCUGAGCCGGCUGCCCCUUUCAGCAUAGCCUGCUCCGUGGCUGCCCAGCCUUGUUUUGUGGUUUCUCCUCGCAGGCUGUGCCUUCACCUCUCCAGAGACCGAUGGGACAGCCUGGCCUGCAGCCCUGGAGAGUGUGCCCACCUGGCAGCCUGGCUCCCCUGCCAACACCUCUGCUGCUGCCUAGCAAGUCCUCUGGUGGGCUGCUCUAUGGAGCCGAGUUGCAGCAGGGACUCCGCCAGAAAGAGCAUCCUGAAAGCUGUGCUGCCCUGCCUCUAUUCCCACUGCACAGCUGCCUUCCUCCUCCUCCAUGCUGCGCCUGCCCACUUGCCUCCUUUGCCAGCACAGAAUCGUGCACAUCACCGGGAAGCCGGACUGCAUAGCAUGUGUUCCGUUUUCUGCCUGUAAAGUUUCUCGGCUGUUACCUAGCCACGGGUCUCCCAAUCUGCACAGAGUUUCCCAAAACUGCUCGCUAAUUCUCUGUACAAACUGCUUAGAAUCUUUCAGUUAUUAUUUGGAAGAAUACCGAGGAUUUGUGGCAGAGCUGUGUUGGGCAGUAUACCUCCACCAUCUGCUGGCCAAGGACACUGACUGCAGCUCUUGCAGUGUAAAUGCUUUGGCAUCGGAUAUGGCCUUGUCAUGUCUCUGAGAAAUCAGGACCACAUUUCUGGAGAGAUUAUUUGAGAGGAGCCAGGAAAGGAUCCUAGCAUUUCAACAAAGGUCCUCCAGUUCCUCCAGUCCCUCCAGGCACUAAUGCCUCUGCCUUCUGGUCCGGACAGAGUACAGUCUCGGGCUCUCCAAGGAGACUUGCUGCUCACUGCCAAGAGAAUUUGCUCUUUGAAAGCAAACACGGAAGAGCCAGAGAAUGUCCACCAGGAACAGAUUCAAGAACCACAAGAGAUCAAAGCCAAGCAUCAAAAUGAAGGCAAAGACUGGUUCUUGGAUUCUACAAAAGAGCAGACUGAGCAAGCCAAGGGAGACAGCCAGUAAACAGCACCAUUCCAUGGCCUCUAUAUCUGCUUCUGCCUCCAAGUUCAAAUCCUGUUUGAGUCACUGCCCUGACUGUCUUCCCUGGAGAACAGCAACAUGAAAGUGUGAGCCAAAUUUCUUUCACAACUCGUUGUCACAUCAUGGUGUUUCAUGUCAGCAGUAUAAACCCUAACUGAGACAGCCUGUGAGGAACCAGGAUUGCUCUGUUCAUAUGCAAAUGUGGGCGUUGGGUAUUUUAAUUCAGUGAGGCCAAUCCCUGACAAGAUAUACUCACAAAUUCACCUCAUCUUUCCUCUGUGCAAAACCUAGAAAGAGAAAUACAGUUCACAGCAUAUGAAGCCCGUAGUCCUGAGAAGCAGAUACCUUAUGAAGAAUCAACUAGGACGCCAGUUCUGGGCUCUCUACAGCCUGGAGCAGUUGCAUUAAUAUUCUUGCAGGGUCCAGGAUUUAGAUUUGUGAUUUUGGAAUAACCUACUCCUUAAAUUCAAGCUAACUACUUGAUCUGUUGCUAAACAAAAGAACAUAGCCCCUUCAUUUGCUAAAGGAAAAACUUGGCUUCCUUUGGAAUAGUUGUGUCUGUUCCCAAUGAAUAAAGUCAUCAGAGUAGGAUCCAGGAUGCUUGGGAAAAGGAGUGGAUGAUUCUGAAUGAUUUUCAUUGUAGGUGAUUUUUUUUUCACCCUCCAACUUAGAGCCCAUCAGACUGCUACAUCUCAUUUUUUUUAUAACGAUUGCAUUUAUCUAAGAACUCCUGUGACAAUAAUAUAGUAUGACUAAAUGCUCAAGACCUCUGAUUUUAUCUCUUUGGCUGCCUGUAAAGGUCCUGAGAACAAAACUAUCUGGGCUUUCAUCAGUCUCUUGUUAUGAUUUGUAAAUUCAUGUGUGAGGCCUUAGCUGCAUUUAGUUCCAUGAUUCAAGUUGUAUGGGACUCUUAUUUGUCUCUGGGGUCUGUUUGCUCUUAUCUAUUUGGAAGCAAUAAGAGAAGUGUUUUAUGUGGUGACACUAGUGAUACAUAUUGAUAUACAUAUCACACAUUGUGGUUCAGAAUGGACAGCUGUUCUCUGCAGUGUCUCCUGGGAAGGUAACCCCAGACUAAGCCCCACUUUGAUCUCCAUGUGACAUAUACAGGAAGAACCUAGAAAACCUAUUUUUCCUUGGCCAGUCUGCUACCUGAGAUACACAAAGUAUAUCUCAGUACCAUAUGGAGUGUAAGGGAACACCAGUUUAAGGUGAUAUAACUCCAUGUCAUGCCACUGGUUUAAUAGCAACGUUCAAAAUUGCUUGUGUUCCUACCAUGCUCAUGAAAUCUGCUUUAGUGCUCCCAUAUAACCUGGGAUGGAAAUGGAAAACUGUAAAUUAAGAGAUAAAAGUUUACAAUUGGUAGGAACAUCAAAUGUUUCUUUCACCAACCCAGUUAUUUUUAUGAUGUAGUGUGGCCUCGUGACAGAUGUACAAUUGUAUAAAUAGCUAUGCAAUCCUGGAGACUAGAUCAGGUUCCAUCUUCUUUGGUGAGUAAUGGUGUUUACAGGUUCCUCACAAGGUAGAUGAGGGCAGAAUACUCACCCACUGAUUGUUUACUGAAUGCAGGACUCACAGUUGAACAAGAAAGAAUAAAACCUCAGGUCUAUCUCUGCAGGGUUUUUAUUUUUUUUCAUUCUUGUCAAGAUCAUUUAAGGGCCCACAGUACUCACAGAACAACAUCAAAUGGUGGCCUUUAAUAAUAACCAGAGUCACAUUGUGAAUCAUGUGUACACAAACAUUGCUUGCUAUUGUUGUGAAAAUAAUUGCAGGUACUGCAAUGAGCCCAUUUUCCCAACUAACUUCCCUGACUACAGAUGUAUUGAGGAAGAGUUCCUAGAUGCCCUGAGAGUCAGUGACAUAUCAAUGAUCUUCCAGGCUGCCAAACCCCAGCUCCACCCAUCUGCACUGCUUUGCAAUAGUUGAGAGACUAUAUUAAUUGCCCCUCCUUGAUGGUAAGGUUGAUGACUACCUUAUAUGACAUCCUUAGAACCUUC